rfam:Penicillium oxalicum 114-2 unplaced genomic scaffold scaffold_2, whole genome shotgun sequence.
CCCUCGAUGGUGUAGUUGGAUAUCACGUUCGGCUGUAAUGGAAUAUCAUAUAACCGAAAGGUCACCGGCUCGAUUCCGGUUCGAGGGA